rnacentral:rRNA from 1 species
UGGGGAAUAUUGCGCAAUGGGGGCAACCCUGACGCAGCAACGCCGCGUGCAGGAAGAAGGUCUUCGGAUUGUAAACUGUUGUCGCAAGGGAAGAAGACAGUGACGGUACCUUGUGAGAAAGUCACGGCUAACUACGUGCCAGCAGCCGCGGUAAUACGUAGGUGACAAGCGUUGUCCGGAUUUACUGGGUGUAAAGGGCGCGUAGGCGGACUGUCAAGUCAGUCGUGAAAUACCGAAGCUUAACUUCGGGGCUGCGAUUGAAACUGACAGCCUUGAGUAUCGGAGAGGAAAGCGGAAUUCCUAGUGUAGCGGUGAAAUGCGUAGAUAUUAGGAGGAACACCAGUGGCGAAGGCGGCUUUCUGGACGACAACUGACGCUGAGGCGCGAAAGUGUGGGGAGCAAACAGGAUUAGAUACC